rnacentral:rRNA from 1 species
AACGAGGUCCAUCCGAUCUUCGGAUUGGUGAAGACCUAGUGGCGAACGGGUGCGUAACACGUGAGAAACCUGCCCCGGUCUCUGGAAUAACAGUUGGAAACGGCUGCUAAUACCGGAUGCCGUCGGACCAUCGCAUGGUGGACCGACGAAAGGGUUACCGGACCGGGAGGGUCUCGCGGCCUAUCAGCUUGUUGGUGAGGUAACGGCUCACCAAGGCAUCGACGGGUAGCUGGUCUGAGAGGAUGAUCAGCCACACUGGGACUGAGACACGGCCCAGACUCCUACGGGAGGCAGCAGUAGGGAAUAUUGCACAAUGGGCGAAAGCCUGAUGCAGCAACGCCGCGUGCGGGAAGAAGGCCCUAGGGUUGUAAACCGCUUUCAGCAGGGAAGAAAAUGACGGUACCUGCAGAAGAAGGUGCGGCCAACUACGUGCCAGCAGCCGCGGUGACACGUAGGCACCAAGCGUUGUCCGGAUUUAUUGGGCGUAAAGAGCUCGUAGGCGGUUCAGUAAGUCGGGUGUGAAAACUCUGGGCUUAACCCAGAGACGCCACUCGAUACUGCUGUGACUCGAGUGCGGUAGGGGAGCGGGGAAUUCCUAGUGUAGCGGUGAAAUGCGCAGAUAUUAGGAGGAACACCAGUGGCGAAGGCGCCGCUCUGGGCCGUAACUGAC